CAGUAGUCACGAGUUUGACUCCUGGCUACAGAACGAACGCUGGCGGCAUGCCUAACACAUGCAAGUCGAACGAGACCUUCGGGUCUAGUGGCGCACGGGUGCGUAACGCGUGGGAAUCUGCCCUUAGGUUCGGAAUAACUUCGGGAAACUGAAGCUAAUACCGGAUGAUGACGUAAGUCCAAAGAUUUAUCGCCUAAGGAUGAGCCCGCGUUGGAUUAGCUAGUUGGUGAGGUAAAGGCUCACCAAGGCGACGAUCCAUAGCUGGUCUGAGAGGAUGAUCAGCCACACUGGGACUGAGACACGGCCCAGACUCCUACGGGAGGCAGCAGUGGGGAAUAUUGGACAAUGGGCGAAAGCCUGAUCCAGCAAUGCCGCGUGAGUGAUGGAGGCCUUAGGGUUGUAAAGCUCUUUUACCCGGGAUGAUAAUGACAGUACCGGGAGAAUAAGCUCCGGCUAACUCCGUG
rnacentral:rRNA from 1 species